GAGCGAACAGAUAAGGAGCUUGCUCCUUUGACGUUAGCGGCGGACGGGUGAGUAACACGUGGAUAACCUACCUAUAAGACUGGGAUAACUUCGGGAAACCGGAGCUAAUACCGGAUAACAUAUUGAACCGCAUGGUUCAAUAGUGAAAGGCGGCUUUGCUGUCACUUAUAGAUGGAUCCGCGCCGUAUUAGCUAGUUGGUAAGGUAACGGCUUACCAAGGCAACGAUACGUAGCCGACCUGAGAGGGUGAUCGGCCACACUGGAACUGAGACACGGUCCAGACUCCUACGGGAGGCAGCAGUAGGGAAUCUUCCGCAAUGGGCGAAAGCCUGACGGAGCAACGCCGCGUGAGUGAUGAAGGUCUUCGGAUCGUAAAACUCUGUUAUCAGGGAAGAACAAAUGUGUAAGUAACUGUGCACAUCUUGACGGUACCUGAUCAGAAAGCCACGGCUAACUACGUGCCAGCAGCCGCGGUAAUACGUAGGUGGCAAGCGUUAUCCGGAAUUAUUGGGCGUAAAGCGCGCGUAGGCGGUUUUUUAAGUCUGAUGUGAAAGCCCACGGCUCAACCGUGGAGGGUCAUUGGAAACUGGAAAACUUGAGUGCAGAAGAGGAAAGUGGAAUUCCAUGUGUAGCGGUGAAAUGCGCAGAGAUAUGGAGGAACACCAGUGGCGAAGGCGACUUUCUGGUCUGUAACUGACGCUGAUGUGCG
rnacentral:rRNA from 1 species